rnacentral:ncRNA from 1 species
AAUACCAGGGGAGCUUGUAGGCAGGCUGAGAGGAAGUAAUUAACUUCGACCCUUUAACCUGAUUUGGAUAAUGCCAACGUAGGGACUGAUAGGAAU